rnacentral:misc_RNA from 1 species
CUGAAACUGACGCUAGCCAUUGGGACAGACAAGCAAGUAGCUGGCUUCAAGAUGUAUAGAGGAAAAGAAGAAGAAAAGAGAGAAAAGAAAGAAAUCUGAGUAAUAGAAGAGACUAUUGGUACUUUUGCUGGUGAUAGUGACUAUAAUGUCUCCCAUUUCUUUGGCCUCUCCUGAAGGGAAGCUUCUUUACUCUUUCCUGAGUACGGAAUAGG